rnacentral:rRNA from 1 species
GACGAACGCUGGCGGCGUGCUUAACACAUGCAAGUCGAACGGAAAGGCCCCUUCGGGGGUACUCGAGUGGCGAACGGGUGAGUAACACGUGGGUAAUCUGCCCCGCACUUCGGGAUAAGCCUGGGAAACUGGGUCUAAUACCGGAUAUGACCACGAGGCGCAUGCCUUGUGGUGGAAAGCUUUUGCGGUGUGGGAUGGGCCCGCGGCCUAUCAGCUUGUUGGUGGGGUGACGGCCUGCCAAGGCGACGACGGGUAGCCGGCCUGAGAGGGUGUCCGGCCACACUGGGACUGAGAUACGGCCCAGACUCCUACGGGAGGCAGCAGUGGGGAAUAUUGCACAAUGGGCGCAAGCCUGAUGCAGCGACGCCGCGUGGGGGAUGACGGCCUUCGGGUUGUAAACCUCUUUCAGCAGGGACGAAGCGUAAGUGACGGUACCUGCAGAAGAAGCACCGGCCAACUACGUGCCAGCAGCCGCGGUAAUACGUAGGGUGCGAGCGUUGUCCGGAAUUACUGGG